rnacentral:lncRNA from 1 species
CUCCCCCCGGCCCGGAUGAAGUGUGUGGAGACAGGCGGAGCGGCCCGUGGAAAAACACCAUGGAGGGCCCGCACAAAGGGGGUUUUAUUCAAAUUUGUUUAGAGUUUAGCGGAUUUGCAUGAAAAAUGUGUGAGAAAAGCCGGCUCCAAUGACCUCAUCCCCAGCUGCCAUUAAUGUUCAAUUAAGUGCUGAAUAGCGGCAAAGGGGGGACCGGCCGGGACGUGCAGAGAAUCCAGGCUCGGGCGCAGACUGUGAGAACCGGGCGGCCCCCCCACCGGCCGUCUGGCAGCCCCUCCCCGGGCGCGGCGCCCCGACGGGAUCCCCCCCCCGCCCCCCUCGCACCGGGAGCAGCGCUCAGCCCUCCGAGUGCCCCCGGCACGGCCUGAAUCGAGGGGGACCCCUCCGGGGGGUUGUCUGGGAGGGGGCGAUGCCCGCCCGAAGCUGUCGGACGAGGCCCGGACGGGGCAGAGCCGCUCUCCGCUUCGCAGACGGUGUCAAAGCCCAAGUUCAAGUCCACGCCGAGGGGCUCUGCCCCGGGAUUCCCGGCUCCUUCCCAUCCUCCGCCUUUUGUUCGCCUCUGACAAUUGCUCUUUAUUUCUUACACACCCCCCGGCCUCCCCCCACCCCCCCGCCUUCCCGCACUUGGCACCGUUUAGCUGUCUGCCUUCAAACUUAACAACCCCGGUUCUUGGUAUAAGCACUCCAAUUCCCCCUCUUUCCCCGUAUAAACGCAGCUCUCCCCGGGUGCGGCCCCCCCGGCUCCACGCACCGGUCCCGGCCCGUCGGGUACAGCCGCGGCCGGAGCGAACUUCCUGCUCAGACACACGGGAGCGAACCGGAUCCACACAACCCCCCCCGGAGCCGCCCCCAGGCUGUGCUGCCCCGGGACAGCGCUCAGGCGGUGUUGACAGAAGAGGAUGGGUAGGAGAUAUCAGCAGCAGACAUGUGCGUCCCAGGAGAGGAUCUGCAGGACUUUGGGCAUCAUGCUGGAGAGAGAAAUGAGAGCGAGUAUGGGGCAUCCACAGGGAAAAAAACCUCAAAUCCCACAUGAGAGCUGGAGGCCCCUGAACCACCAACUCACAGCUUCCCCAGUGCUGGGGAAGGGGAGAUGGAGUGAGAAGAUCCCUGCACCUGCUGAGCACGAGGCUUUUGGCCCGUGCACCCAAAGAUGAGAUGCGAAAGAAGAGAUCCUAGGAGUUUCUGCUAUGGGAUAGAGCCUGGAGCAGGGAUGCUCUACCUUCUGCUGUACUAGGUAUCACCAUGCAGGAUUGUUCCAGCACUCAGAAUGUAGGCCUGAAGCUUAUCGUUUUGAAGCAAAAGUCAAUAUAGGAAAGAAAACUCAUUUCUGGAGCAGAUUCAGGUUCAACCCAGGGCACCAGACAGUUGUUUAUAGCAAGUGUUGGGCAUGGUGCAGAUUCCAGAGAUAGGUGUAAUUUAAAUGGUGCUGAAGAAGUUUUGGGAGGGAUUUAGCAGUUCUCAAGCUGCCUCACAAGGGCCAGGGCUGCUGUACACCAUGUCCAGCCAUUCCAGAGCCCUCUCUGAGGGGAAAUGGCACAGACCAGCAGCUUUUGCAUGCUGAAAGGAUGCUCAGAUCUCUCCUCCCAUAUAGGGAGCACCCACAAUGGUCCAUGACCAGUGUGGGGGCUGCUGGUUAGUGAUGCCUGUGCCCAUCCAUGAGGUUCCCCACAAGCUGCAUCCCUUUCCCCAUGUAUGCAUUUGUAGACUCCAGCAGAUGUAAGGUGGGGGAAUGGGCCCUCACUGGGCACUAAGCACAGCUCUGUGCCCCCCUCUGCCCCCAUGAUCAGCACCUCUGCCUGCUCUGCCCUCCCUCUGGCUGUCCUCACACCUGCAGACAAUUGGGUCCCCAGCCACCCCCACUUCCCUCCUCCUUCCAAGCUCCCCUCAGCUGUCUUGAAGCCGUAUCUGAAAUAUGCGGUAUGUAGGAGGAGAAAUUCAGUCUGACAGCAGUUUAAAACACUGCACUACUUGGCAGAUUUAAAUGCUAUUUUAAAUAUAAGCUAUGACACAACGGACAAAAAUAGCAUUGAAAAUACCCUGUCAUGUUCCAUAUUGCGAGGAGUAGAGAAGCAGACCAGGCUAGAAAGGAGCACAGAAAGAGGCCAGAUGGAGAAGAGAGGUUAUUUUGUUUGUUUUUAAGGAAAUGGGAUAAAUGUAUUUUGCAUGUGACCAGGUGAAAGUGCGGUAGGGAACACGGAGCCAAAGCCAAAUAAAUAAACAAAGAAACAAAUAAAGGAAAUAAAC